GACGAACGCUGGCGGCGUGCUUAACACAUGCAAGUCGAGCGGUAAGGCCCUUUCGGGGGUACACGAGCGGCGAACGGGUGAGUAACACAUGGGUGACCUGCCCUCAGCUCUGGGAUAAGCCUGGGAAACCGGGUCUAAUACCGGAUAUGACUCCAUGACGCAUGUUGUGGGGUGGAAAGCCUUGUGCGGCUGAGGAUGGGCCCGCGGCCUAUCAGCUUGUUGGUGGGGGAUGGCCUACCAAGGCGACGACGGGUAGCCGGCCUGAGAGGGCGACCGGCCACACUGGGACUGAGACACGGCCCAGACUCCUACGGGAGGCAGCAGUGGGGAAUCUUGCGCAAUGGGCGAAAGCCUGACGCAGCGACGCCGCGUGAGGGAUGACGGCCU
rnacentral:rRNA from 1 species